ACUGUAAACAAAACACCUCCAGACUGAAACAGACAUCUGCAGGAGCCUGCACUGCUAGUCAAGUACAAGAUGAAAUCUCUGCACUUGAGGGUUUCUGCUUUUCUGCCAGAAGACUUACAUCAUGUGAGUGUGCAGGACUGCACUUCAAUUCAUCAGAAGUUGUACAUGCACAUCUGAGAGGACUAUUUCUCAAAGAUUAAAUGAGGACAUGGGUUCUUGGCAGCAAUAUCUACUCAGUGCUGAGCAGAAAAGGACCAAAGCUUUCCUAGUGAAAGGACUCCUUUCUCCCUGUGACACCUGUGCACGUGCAAGCACAGCCCUGCCUUGCUGUGCCUCCCCAGUCUCCCCCAAGAG